ACUAGCUAUAGCUAGCGUUAGCCGUCACGUAGCUACGCUUGUUGUUGUGAUCAAGGGGGAGGAACGGCUUCCCGGUAGGCUACCAGAGGACUGUCAGACGCUUUUCCCUUCAGAAUGGGCGCCGUAUCGUCAUGGCUAAAAACAGGCACAGCUUCAGUUUUAAAGUAAAGUGAUGAAUGAUCCAGCUCCACAAAGUAGUGCUCCACCUGCACAGCCUCUGUCAUCUCCUCAUGAAGCUGAUUGACCAGAGGAUCUGUUGCUGAAUUAAGAGAAGAGGAAGAAAAAUCAUGGGGAGUGGAGUUCCAGCUUAAUGCCGGAUAGUGAGAGGAACUCCGUGUUCAGAAGGAGGAAGUCCGACCUCUGCGUGUGAAUGUUCCUGCGCAGACAGCCGUCUCUGAGGUCGCUGAUGUAAAAGCAGAACAAAGUGUCCUUGUCUGGCGUCUGCUAGCAUGUGGUGUGUUUUUAAGUGGGUUCAGGAGUGAGACAAAACGCGUGCCUGCUCGCAUAAGGAGCACAACCCUACUCCUACUAAUUACCGCCGUGUCACAGGCCUCUGGCGCUACCUGUGUGUAAAUGGGGGUCUGGCUGCAGGUUAAGUGCUGAAGUCUGUUAUCUGUCAGCACGGAUGUGUUUCGGUGGAAAUCCUCUCAACCUUCCGUCAGCCAGCCUGCAGAAGACAAACGAUUACUCCGAGCUGGUCGGACUAGUUUUCAGGCAAAGCUUGAAUGGUUUUGGUUUUCUGUUUGAUCCAGACUGGUUUGACAAACCUCCCUGUUCAAGGUUCAAGGUUUCAUGGAAUCAGGAAAAUGCACAGAAUGUGACAGAUGGAGUUUGAAAAAUGUCUCAGGAAAUUAUAAAACAAAAUGGUCAUCUGGACGUCAAACAUCUGGACAUCAGAUUGUCUAUGAAGUGUGUAAAGAUCUU